rfam:Branchiostoma floridae genomic scaffold BRAFLscaffold_12, whole genome shotgun sequence.
CUAUAUGUACCCUGUAGAUCCGAAUUUGUGUGAGGUACCCAAGUCACAAAUUCGUUUCUGCAGGUAUAAUGUAGC